rnacentral:rRNA from 1 species
CGGCAGGCCUCAAACAUGCAAGUCUAGGGGGUGUAGCAAUACAUCACCGGCGGACGGGUGCGUAACACGUGGGAAUGUACCUAGUGGUACGGAACAACUCAGGGAAACUUGAGCUAAUACCGUAUAAGCCCGAAAGGGGAAAGAUUUAUCGCCACUAGAUCAGCCCGCGUAGGAUUAGCUAGUUGGUAGGGUAACGGCCUACCAAGGCGACGAUCCUUAGCUGUUCUGAGAGGAAGAUCAGCCACACUGGGACUGAGACACGGCCCAGACUCCUACGGGAGGCAGCAGUUGGGAAUCUUGGACAAUGGGCGCAAGCCUGAUCCAGCCAUGCCGCGUGAGUGAUGAAGGCCUUAGGGUUGUAAAGCUCUUUUACCCGGGAAGAUAAUGACUGUACCGGGAGAAUAAGCUCCGGCUAACUUCGUGCCAGCAGCCGCGGUAAUACGAAGGGGGCUAGCGUUGUUCGGAAUUACUGGGCGUAAAGCGUGCGCAGGCGGUCUCUCAAGUCAGGGGUGAAAGCCCAGAGCUCAACUCUGGAAUUGCCUUUGAAACUGUGAGGCUCGAGUGCGGGAGAGGUGAGUGGAAUUCCCAGUGUAGAGGUGAAAUUCGUAGAUAUUGGGAAGAACACCGGUGGCGAAGGCGGCUCACUGGCCCGUUUCUGACGCUCAUGCACGAUAGCGUGGGGAUCAAACAGGAUUAGAUACCCUGGUAGUCCACGCCGUAAACUAUGGACGCUAGCCGUUGGAUAGCUUGCUAUUCAGUGGCGCAGCUAACGCCUUAAGCGUCCCGCC